rnacentral:rRNA from 1 species
GAUGAACGCUGGCGGCGUGCCUAAUACAUGCAAGUCGAGCGAACAGACGAGGAGCUUGCUCCUCUGACGUUAGCGGCGGACGGGUGAGUAUCACGUGGAUAACCUACCUAUAAGACUGGGAUAACUUCGGGAAACCGGAGCUAAUACCGGAUAAUAUAUUGAACCGCAUGGUUCAAUAGUGAAAGACGGUUUUGCUGUCACUUAUAGAUGGAUCCGCGCCGCAUUAGCUAGUUGGUAAGGUAACGGCUUACCAAGGCAACGAUGCGUAGCCGACCUGAGAGGGUGAUCGGCCACACUGGAACUGAGACACGGUCCAGACUCCUACGGGAGGCAGCAGUAGGGAAUCUUCCGCAAUGGGCGAAAGCCUGACGGAGCAACGCCGCGUGAGUGAUGAAGGUCUUCGGAUCGUAAAACUCUGUUAUUAGGGAAGAACAAAUGUGUAAGUAACUAUGCACGUCUUGACGGUACCUAAUCAGAAAGCCACGGCUAACUACGUG